rnacentral:rRNA from 1 species
GACGAACGCUGGCGGCGUGCUUAACACAUGCAAGUCGAACGGAAAGACCCUGCUUUUGUGGGGUGCUCGAGUGGCAAACGGGUGAGUAACACGUGAGUCACCUGCCCUUGACUUUGGGAUAACUUCAGGCAACUGGUGCUAAUACCGGAUAGGAGCUCCUGCUGCAUGGUGGGGGUUGGACAGUUUCGGCGGUUGUGGAUGGACUCGCGGCUUAUCAGCUUGUUGGUGGGGUAGUGGCUUACCAAGGCUUUGACGGGUAGCCGGCCUGAGAGGGUGACCGGCCACAUUGGGACUGAGAUACGGCCCAGACUCCUACGGGAGGCAGCAGUGGGGAAUAUUGCACAAUGGGCGGAAGACUGAUGCAGCAACGCCGCGUGCGGGAUGAAGGCCUUCGGGUGGGAAACCGCUUUCGCCUGUGACGAAGCGUGAGUGACGGUAAUGGGUAAAGAAGCACCGGCUAACUACGUG